rnacentral:rRNA from 1 species
GAUGAACGCUGGCGGCGUGCCUAAUACAUGCCAGUCGAGCGAACAGACGAGGAGCUUGCUCCUCUGACGUUAGCGGCGGACGGGUGAGUAACACGUGGAUAACCUACCUAUAAGACUGGGAUAACUUCGGGAAACCGGAGCUAAUACCGGAUAAUAUAUUGAACCGCAUGGUUCAAUAGUGAAAGACGGUUUUGCUGUCACUUAUAGAUGGAUCCGCGCCGCAUUAGCUAGUUGGUAAGGUAACGGCUUACCAAGGCAACGAUGCGUAGCCGACCUGAGAGGGUGAUCGGCCACACUGGAACUGAGACACGGUCCAGACUCCUACGGGAGGCAGCAGUAGGGAAUCUUCCGCAAUGGGCGAAAGCUUGACGGAGUAACGCCGCGUGAGUGAUGAAGGUCUUCGGAUCGUAAAACUCUGUUAUUAGGGAAGAACAAAUGUGUAAGUAACUAUGCACGUCUUGACGGUACCUAAUCAGAAAGCCACGGCUAACUACGUG